rnacentral:lncRNA from 1 species
GAUUAUUGAUAGUCGAUAAUUAUUAUUUAUCAAUGUAUUGAUAAUAUUAUAUCAACAUUUUGGGUCUAUCGAUAGAAUGCUGAUCAUGAUGACACAAUGCACAAGCACAAGCACAAAAAAUUUUGCAAAGCAGGAAAGCACCAACGGUUUUUCGAAUGAGUUUCGUAGUCUGUAAUUUUUGUUAUUUUAUCCAGGAAAUAAUAGGAGCUGUGGUGAUGAAAUUUUCCAACACAAAAGAAAAAUACAUAGAAGCAGUACGGUAAUCAAAUACUGGCUGAAGUCUCCAAAAACUCGGCUUACCAGCAAAGAGAAAUCUAAAAAUGUUCAAACACCGGAUCCUGGAGGAAAAUCUGAAUGCUACAAAAAUUCAGAUUGAAUUGAGGUGCAGUAACAUAAACCAGUAUGUUGCUCAAAAAAUUGCUACUCUAAAGAGGAAGAGAUUAAAGUAUUCUGGAGCACCACAAUAAGGACCUUUCUUAAUAGAUAAAUGACAUGCAUAUGAGUUAUUUUAAUAAACAAACUUCUCACAUUA